GACGAACGCUGGCGGCGUGCUUAACACAUGCAAGUCGAACGGUAAGGCUCCAGCUUGCUGGGGUACACGAGUGGCGAACGGGUGAGUAACACGUGGGUGACCUGCCCUGCACUUCGGGAUAAGCCUGGGAAACUGGGUCUAAUACCGGAUAGGACCAUGGUGUGGAUACUGUGGUGGAAAGUUUUUUCGGUGUGGGAUGGGCCCGCGGCCUAUCAGCUUGUUGGUGGGGUAAUGGCCUACCAAGGCGGCGACGGGUAGCCGGCCUGAGAGGGUGGACGGCCACAUUGGGACUGAGACACGGCCCAGACUCCUACGGGAGGCAGCAGUGGGGAAUAUUGCACAAUGGGCGGAAGCCUGAUGCAGCGACGCCGCGUGGGGGAUGAUGGCCUUCGGGUUGUAAACUCCUUUCACCAUCGACGAAGGGUUUCUGACGGUAGAUGGAGAAGAAGCACCGGCUAACUACGUG
rnacentral:rRNA from 1 species